GGAAUGUGCAAUGGAGAUUGUUAAUAUGGACAUAUCCUAAGACACAGCAUACCUUUUGAGAAAAUAAAUACACUACACUUUGACAAGAAGGACAAUUAACAGUGCCAUGAAUUACUGAGGACAGGUGUUUUAUCCUGUUCAUCACCAGAAAUAGUCCCUUUGACAAGAAACUCUUSCUUAGACCUUGAAGAUUCAUUAAGGUAGAGUAGCAGGCAUGCASAGAACCAAAUAAUCUGGCUUGAAAYCAUGCAAAGAGUCUGGAAAUACAAUUCCAGUGAGUCCUGGCUAUAACACCUUUGAUGCCCACAUCACUAGCUGCUGUCCUGCAUACACCAACGGGUGGAUGCUGUGGGGGGGUCCAGGCAGCUCUGUGGAACAGUCUCCAAUGGGAUAGUAGGAUGAGAAGGUCCAGGGGUAGUUUGGGAAACGAGGAGAAACAUCACCUCCCAAGACGGUAAAUCUACU